UAGAGGAAGUAAAAGUCGUAACAAGGUCUCCGUUGGUGAACCAGCGGAGGGAUCAUUACUGAGUUUACGCUCUACAACCCUUUGUGAACAUACCUAUAACUGUUGCUUCGGCGGGUAGGGUCUCCGCGACCCUCCCGGCCUCCCGCCUCCGGGCGGGUCGGCGCCCGCCGGAGGAUAACCAAACUCUGAUUUAACGACGUUUCUUCUGAGUGGUACAAGCAAAUAAUCAAAACUUUUAACAACGGAUCUCUUGGUUCUGGCAUCGAUGAAGAACGCAGCGAAAUGCGAUAAGUAAUGUGAAUUGCAGAAUUCAGUGAAUCAUCGAAUCUUUGAACGCACAUUGCGCCCGCCAGCAUUCUGGCGGGCAUGCCUGUUCGAGCGUCAUUUCAACCCUCAAGCUCUGCUUGGUGUUGGGGCCCUACAGCCGAUGUAGGCCCUCAAAGGUAGUGGCGGACCCUCCCGGAGCCUCCUUUGCGUAGUAACUUUACGUCUCGCACUGGGAUCCGGAGGGACUCUUGCCGUAAAACCCCCCAAUUUUCCAAAGGUUGACCUCGGAUCAGGUAGGAAUACCCGCUGAACUUAAGCAUAUCAAUAAGCGG
rnacentral:rRNA from 1 species